UACGGAGGGAGCUAGCGUUGUUCGGAAUUACUGGGCGUAAAGCGCGCGUAGGCGGCUUUGUAAGUUAGAGGUGAAAGCCCGGGGCUCAACCCCGGAAUUGCCUUUAAGACUGCAUCGCUUGAAUCCGGGAGAGGUGAGUGGAAUUCCGAGUGUAGAGGUGAAAUUCGUAGAUAUUCGGAAGAACACCAGUGGCGAAGGCGGCUCACUGGACUGGUAUUGACGCUGAGGUGCGAAAGCGUGGGGAGCAAACGGG
rnacentral:rRNA from 1 species